UACAUGGGGUGCAAACGUUGCUCGGAAUUAUUGGGCGUAAAGCGCACGUAGGCGGUCCGUUAAGUCGGAUGUGAAAGCCCCCGGCUCAACCGGGGAAGUGCAUCCGAAACUGGCAGGCUAGAGUACGAAAGAGGGUCGCGGAAUUCCCGGUGUAGAGGUGAAAUUCGUAGAUAUCGGGAGGAACACCGGUGGCGAAGGCGGCGAUCUGGGUAGAUACUGACGCUGAGGUGCGAAAGCGUGGGGAGCAAACAGG
rnacentral:rRNA from 1 species